ensembl:misc_RNA Metazoa_SRP Metazoan signal recognition particle RNA
GCCGGGCGCGGUGGCGGGCGCCUGUAAUCCCAGCUACUUGGGAGGCUGAGGCAGGAGAAUCACAUGAACCUGGGAGGUGGAGGUUGCAGUGAGCUGAGAUAGAGCCACUGCACUCCAGCCCGGGCAACAGUGCAAGACCCUGUCUCAA